AGAUCACCGAAGUCAAGCAUCAUUGGGCGCGGUCAGUACUUGGGUGGAUGACCACCUGGGAACACUGCGUGCCGUU